rnacentral:other from 1 species
UACAGGCUGCGUUGUUCGUAUUUAAAUAAGUUUUAACCUCUAACAGAUGAAUAGGGAGUUUUAUAUCGGAACUGAAAUGUCGUGCCUCCUUAAGCGUGGAAGACAGGAAAGUUCCUGCAAACACCCACUUGGUGAAGUGGUGGUUUUAAAACUUUUUAUUUAAAAAAUACGGCAAUUGUGGCUGUCU